GAAAGACAGAGAAUGAUGACUCAGUUCAAAUGGAUUAAAUUCUUUUCAUCAGUUUUACUAAUGCUUCAAGUAACAGGAAUAAAAGUGCAGCUGUAUGAAAAUGUGGUAUGUAAUGCUGACCGAUGAAGAUUUUGACAGUGAACAAUGGAAGUAGAAGAUCUCCUGAUGGACACUGACUGAUCCUGCUGCGUCUGUCAGACUUCAGUAAUGUGAUGGAAAAUGUUAAGAGUCUGUGCUUCUCUUUGUUAUACUGGCCUAGCUGAAAUGAAGGAUGCAUCACAGCGUGUUUGUCUCCAUAUAAUUUUGUAAUACAAGAUAUACUCAGCUGCAUGUAAUGUUCUGAUUGUAUUCUGUGACCGUGGCAGGUAUAUAAGGUGUUUCUAUAAAUGGUUCUAUUCUUGUAUUUAUUCUAUAUCUAAAGAAAUACAGACUGCUGCUGUACUCUGUGUUGUUGUUUGUUGUCUUUGCAAAGGCAAAU